rnacentral:rRNA from 1 species
GGACUACCCGGGUUUCUAAUCCGUUUUGCUCCCCACGCUUUCAUGCCUCAAUGUCAGUAGCAGAAUAGUUAACUGCCUUCGCCAUUAUUGGUGUUCUUUCAUAUAUCGUCACAUUUUACCGCUCCACAUGAAGUUCCGUUAACCUCCCCUGCACUCAAACUCGACAGUAUUACUAACUUCCACGAGGUUAAGCCCCGAUUUCCCACUAGUAACUUAUCGAACCAUCUACGCAUCCUUUACGCCCAAUAAUUCCGGAUAACGUUCGUCACCUAUGUCUUACCGCGGCUGCUGGCAC